AAUACUAUGAAUUGCUACGAUAAAGGAUAGUAAUCCACAGUUGCGCUUGAAAUUUAUGAAAUGCACACUGGGACUACUAUUCUCUUUAGUAGCAAUAUCAAUUAUUGC